rnacentral:tRNA from 1 species
AUUUGAUCCAAAUGGUUACGGCUUCUGUCUCCCAAGCAGAAGGUUCAGGGAUCAAAUCCCGGUCGGUA